rfam:Populus trichocarpa isolate Nisqually-1 chromosome 4, whole genome shotgun sequence.
UAAUAUGUAUAGAACAAAUCCCCAUUUAGUCAUGGUAAACUCGUAACUAACUGCUCAGAAUCAUCAAUUACCAUGUGAAUAAUAACUUUUUAAGAUUUUAAU